rnacentral:rRNA from 1 species
AUUGAACGCUGGCGGCAUGCCUAACACAUGCAAGUCGAACGGCAGCACGGCAGUAGCAAUACUGUGGGUGGCGAGUGGCGGACGGGUGAGGAAUACGUCGGAAUCUGCCCAGUCGUGGGGGAUAACUAGCCGAAAGGUUAGCUAAUACCGCAUACGACCGAGAGGUGAAAGCGGGGGACCGCAAGGCCUCGCGCGAUUGGAUGAGCCGACGUCGGAUUAGCUAGUUGGUGGGGUAAAGGCCCACCAAGGCGACGAUCCGUAGCUGGUCUGAGAGGAUGAUCAGCCACACUGGAACUGAGACACGGUCCAGACUCCUACGGGAGGCAGCAGUGGGGAAUAUUGGACAAUGGGCGCAAGCCUGAUCCAGCCAUGCCGCGUGAGUGAAGAAGGCCCUCGGGUUGUAAAGCUCUUUUGUCCGGAAAGAAAAGCGCCGGGUUAAUACCCUGGUGUCCUGACGGUACCGGAAGAAUAAGCACCGGCUAACUUCGUGCCAGCAGCCG